AGAGUUCGAUCCUGGCUCAGGAUGAACGCUGGCGGCGUGCCUAACACAUGCAAGUCGAACGAGAUGCUUAUCGGAAAGCUUCGGCCGGAAGAUAAGUUAUCUAGUGGCGGACGGGUGAGUAACACGUGGGUAACCUGCCUUAUGGAGGGGGAUAACAGAGAGAAAUCACUGCUAAUACCGCAUAAGCACACAGUACCGCAUGGUACAGGGUGAAAAGAUUUAUCGCCAUAAGAUGGACCCGCGUCUGAUUAGCCAGUUGGCAGGGUAAAAGCCUACCAAAGCAACGAUCAGUAGCCGAUCUGAGAGGAUGACCGGCCACAUUGGGACUGAGACACGGCCCAAACUCCUACGGGAGGCAGCAGUGGGGAAUAUUGCACAAUGGGGGAAACCCUGAUGCAGCGACGCCGCGUGAGUGAAGAAGUAUUUCGGUAUGUAAAGCUCUAUCAGCAGGGAAGAUAAUGACAGUACCUGACUAAGAAGCCCCGGCUAACUACGUGCCAGCAGCCGCGGUAAUACGUAGGGGGCAAGCGUUAUCCGGAUUUACUGGGUGUAAAGGGAGCGCAGGCGGUUUGGCAAGUUGAGAGUGGAAGCAGGGGGCUCAACCCCCUGACUGCUCCCAAAACUGUUAAACUUGAGUAUGGGAGAGGCAGGCGGAAUUCCUAGUGUAGCGGUGAAAUGCUUAGAUAUUAGGAAGAACACCGGUGGCGAAGGCGGCCUGCUGGACCAAAACUGACGCUGAGGCUCGAAAGCGUGGGUAGCAAACAGGAUUAGAUACCCUGGUAGUCCACGCUGUAAACGAUGAAUACUAGGUGCUGGGAGGCAUAAGCCUUUCGGUGCCGUCGCAAACGCAUUAAGUAUUCCACCUGGGGAGUACGUUCGCAAGAAUGAAACUCAAAGGAAUUGACG
rnacentral:rRNA from 1 species